GUUUUUUUAGCCGAGUGGUUUGGGCGUGUGGCCUGCUAAGUACAUGUGUUUUCCCAACGAGAGUCCAAAUCUCUCAAGCAACG
rfam:Ipomoea nil DNA, scaffold: scaffold0518, cultivar: Tokyo-kokei standard.